AAUAUUGCACAAUGGGGGAAACCCUGAUGCAGCGACGCCGCGUGAGUGAAGAAGUAUUUCGGUAUGUAAAGCUCUAUCAGCAGGGAAGAAAAUGACGGUACCUGACUAAGAAGCCCCGGCUAACUACGUUCCAGCAGCCGCGGUAAUACGCAGGGGGCAAGCGUUAUCCGGAUUUACUGGGUGUAAAGGGAGGGUAGGUGGCGAGUCAAGUCAGAUGGGAAAGCCCGGGGCUCAACCCCGGGAUUGCAUUUGAAACUGGUUUGCUAGAGUGCAGGAGAGGUAAGUGGAAUUCCUAGUGUAGCGGUGAAAUGCGUAGAUAUUAGGAGGAACACCAGUGGCGAAGGCGGCUUACUGGACUGUAACUGACGCUGAGGCGCGAAAGCGUGGGGAGCGAACA
rnacentral:rRNA from 1 species